CAGAGGAUGGUAUGAAGUUCCAGGUAGUCAGCUUCCCAGAAUUUAACUGUAUUUUAAAUCUUUGAACAAAACAGCUAAAAAAGAUUUGAAGAAUUUGACAUAUUCCUUUUUAAUUCACAGCAACCACAACAACUACAACAACACCCAUGCCAACAACAACAUCCACAACAACCUCUGAACCAUUGUUCCUUGAUGUGGACAUUGUUUUGAGCAUCCCAGCUGCCAUCGUGCCAUCAAAUAUCCCUGAGUCAUUCCGAAGUGCUCUUCAAACAAUAAACUACCCUAUAUCUCUUUCAAGGAUAAAUGUUUUACAAGUAAACUUGACUACCGUCUGCAUUCCAAACUCCUAUGAUGAACUGCAGUGUGAAUGUGAGGGUGGUUAUGCUUUGCCAUGUGACAUGUGCAACAGCAGCAACUCAUGCAGUAACACCAGCAGUUCAACCUGUACAUGCAUAAAUGGACUUCCUCCAAAUGAUGAGUUUUGCCAACCAGAAAC